UCAAGUUCCCAUUCUGCAUUCCUGUGAGUGCGAGGAAUUUGGAAACUAGAUGGAAUUGCAGAAAAAAAUGUGGCUUUACUUUUCUCUCCAUGAAUGUUACUUGCUGUCGAAGAAAUAUGUUCGUUCAUUCAUUUUAAGGUCUUAGAAUUUCUUCUUUUCCCACAUCUUCUCUAAUAUUCUGGAAUGACUGAGACGAAUUCGCCCUAAAAUGUGCAGCUGUAUCCAAGAUUCGAUUACCGACAAUGGAAUGAUUUGGUUGCAGUGAAUUACUCAGUAAUUCCCUAUGAGAGCAAAAUAAAAACAUUCGUUUUCCUACAGAAAUUCUCCAAACUAGAAAAGCUCACCAAUGGCUAAGUAGAUACGAACCAGUUCCAUUAAAAGGUCUUCCCACGAAGACAUCUUUUCCUUCUCAGGUCAGGUUACUUUUCGCAAACAAGGCAGAAAUCAUCUUCACUACAUGAGAAAUUGCUGCUGUGAGAUCAACUGUCUAAAUUUGUAAUAAAUAUAUCGAAACAGUCUGCAAUUCUAAAACACCAUCAAUUCAAGACACAUUCUAAUAUGUGGUACGAAAACAUCUGCCUGGCGCAGUAGAGACGGCACAAAACAUAAGAAAGGGAGGACAGAAACAAGGU